GUCUGGUUAAUUCCGAUAACGAACGAGACUCCGGCAUGCUAACUAGUUACGCGGCCCCGUGCGGUCGGCGUCCAACUUCUUAGAGGGACAAGUGGCGUUCAGCCACACGAGAUUGAGCAAUAACAGGUCUGUGAUGCCCUUAGAUGUCCGGGGCUGCACGCGCGCCACACUGAGUGGAUCAGCGUGUGUCUACCCUUCGCCGAGAGGCGUGGGUAACCCGCUGAACCCCACUCGUGAUAGGGAUUGGGGAUUGCAAUUAUUUCCCAUGAACGAGGAAUUCCCAGUAAGC
rnacentral:rRNA from 1 species